CAUGUAGGCGGCUUUUAAGUCGGUCGUGAAAAUGCGGGGCUUAACCCCGUAUUGCGGUCGAAACUGGAGGGCUUGAGUGCAGGAGAGGAAAGGGGAAUUCCCAGUGUAGCGGUGAAAUGCGUAGAUAUUGGGAGGAACACCAGUGGCGAAGGCGCCUUUCUGGACUGUGUCUGACGCUGAGAUGCGAAAGCCAGGGUAGCAAACG
rnacentral:rRNA from 1 species